GACAGAGGGUGCAAACGUUGUUCGGAAUUACUGGGCGUAAAGCGCGUGUAGGCGGCCAUCUAAGUCGGGCGUGAAAUCCCACGGCUCAACCGUGGAAGUGCACUCGAAACUGGAUGGCUAGAGUACUGGAGAGGAAGGUGGAAUGCUUGGUGUAGAGGUGAAAUUCGUAGAUAUCAAGAGGAACACCGGUGGCGAAGGCGGCCAUCUGGACAGUGACUGACGCUGAGACGCGAAAGCGUGGGGAGCAAACAGG
rnacentral:rRNA from 1 species